rnacentral:rRNA from 1 species
UACCGGAUAAGCCCUUACGGGGAAAGAUUUAUCGCCGAAAGAUCGGCCCGCGUCUGAUUAGCUAGUUGGUGAGGUAACGGCUCACCAAGGCGACGAUCAGUAGCUGGUCUGAGAGGAUGAUCAGCCACAUUGGGACUGAGACACGGCCCAAACUCCUACGGGAGGCAGCAGUGGGGAAUAUUGGACAAUGGGCGCAAGCCUGAUCCAGCCAUGCCGCGUGAGUGAUGAAGGCCCUAGGGUUGUAAAGCUCUUUUGUGCGGGAAGAUAAUGACGGUACCGCAAGAAUAAGCCCCGGCUAACUUCGUGCCAGCAGCCGCGGUAAUACGAAGGGGGCUAGCGUUGCUCGGAAUCACUGGGCGUAAAGGGUGCGUAGGCGGGUCUUUAAGUCAGGGGUGAAAUCCUGGAGCUCAACUCCAGAACUGCCUUUGAUACUGAAGAUCUUGAGUUCGGGAGAGGUGAGUGGAACUGCGAGUGUAGAGGUGAAAUUCGUAGAUAUUCGCAAGAACACCAGUGGCGAAGGCGGCUCACUGGCCCGAUACUGACGCUGAGGCACGAAAGCGUGGGGAGCAAACAGGAUUAGAUACCCUGGUAGUCCACGCCGUA